rnacentral:lncRNA from 1 species
AAAAAAAAGACAAUGAAUACAAUGAAAUACAUAGAAUACAACGAGAUACAUUGAAAUACAAUGAAAAAAAGGUAACAAACUCUUCAAGUUGCUCAGCCCCAAAUUCCGUCGUCUUUGUUCAAGAAUAAUCCUAAAUGUCGUCUCGUUGAUAGCAGAUUUCGAACCUUCAUUGUCAGCCCCAAUUCACCCUAUGUCAGAAUUCCCCAUUAAAACCCCCCUAAACCCUCACUCAUGCACAUUGCAUUUUGCAUGUUGCCGCCACCAUACUCACUGCCUCGUCUCCACUUUAGAUCCUCGCCGCGUGCGACGCCGUUGAGUCGUUCUUACACAAGCAUACACCUGAUCAGUCCCGAUGGUUCUUCUCCAUCACUUUCCCAACCCUAAUUUCACUACAAGAAAAAUGACAUUUAAGGAAGGAAAAUCUCGUCCCUAAAGAUCCAAAUUUGGUCCUAAUACACCAAUUGCGACAGGAAAACGUUGGUCGCAACCCAUCGCAAUAGCGUCCGCCGCUAAAGGUCAACAAUGACGAGUUCAGAAACAUGGUCGCUAAAUGUUUUUAGAGACGGACAAAAAAUCUAGGCGUUAAAUACCUUUAGAGACUACAUAUCUCGUCCCAAUAGUCGAUUAAUAUAUUAUUAAAAAUACAUAUUUUCCCGUCGUUAAACAGUUUUAGCGACCACUCUUCUCUUCCCUAAUAGACAACAAAUAUAUUAUGGAAAAAAUAUAUUUCCGGUCCUUUAUUAGUUUUAGCGACCAACAUUUAACUGGCCGUAAUUUAUCUUUUAGAGACGAGCAACACAAAUCCCUAUUUAAAAUAAUUGUAGUAACUAUAACGACUGUAUAUCUGAUAUCUUAUUACCCACAAGAAGUCUUAAAAAUCAAUAUCUUAAAAAAGUUAUUUUAUCAGUAAAUAUCAAAUUGCUAUUGAAAAUUUUAAAUAUAAAAAAAGUAAUAUAUAUAAUAUAUAAUAAAGUUAUUAAUUACAACGUUAACCUCCCAUGAUGUUAGUUUCAAUAUUUUCUCAACACCUUAACAAAAAAACAUAGUUAAUAUCUUGAGCUAGACUAUGAUAUCAAGUUUUACAUAACAUUCCCUGUAAGUAUAAAAUUUUAAAAAGACGAUAAAUAACUAUUGGUAAAAAAAUAUAUGUAAAUUUACACUAGCAAUGGUUAAAUCGCUUACCCCACAAGCAGUCUAAAUUCAUCAGGUGUUAUCCAGCAAUAUCA